GACGAACGCUGGCGGCGUGCUUAACACAUGCAAGUCGAACGGAAAGGCCCUGCUUUUGUGGGGUGCUCGAGUGGCGAACGGGUGAGUAACACGUGAGUAACCUGCCCUUGACUUUGGGAUAACUUCAGGAAACUGGGGCUAAUACCGGAUAGGAGCUCCUGCUGCAUGGUGGGGGUUGGAAAGUUUAGGCGGUUGGGGAUGGAGGCGCGGCUGAUCAGCUUGUUGGUGGGGUAGUGGCUUACCAAGGCUUUGACGGGUAGCCGGCCUGAGAGGGUGACCGGCAACAUUGGGACUGAGAUACGGGCCAGACUCCUACGGGAGGCAGCAGUGGGGAAUAUUGCACAAUGGGCGGAAGCCUGAUGCAGCAACGCCGCGUGCGGGAUGACGGCCUGCGGGUUGUGAACCGCAUACGGCUGUGACGAAGCGUGAGUGACGGUAAUGGAUAAAGAAGCACCGGCUAACUACGUG
rnacentral:rRNA from 1 species